rnacentral:RNase_P_RNA from 2 species
UUUUGUGGAUAAUUGCGCAUUAGCUUGACUAAUGUGAGGAAAGUCCAUGCUCACACAAGCUGAGAUGCAUGUAGUGUUCGUGCGUAGCGAAAAAAUAAGCUACGGCUCCUCUCUUUAGAGGAAGACGGCAGGUAAACGAACUAAGGCCAAUUUGGCUAGGUUCCAGUAGCCUUGAAAGUGCCACAGAGACGAUAUAGUAUGGAAACAUGCUAGUGGAACGGGUAAACCCCUCGAGUGAGCAACUCAAACAACAGGUAGAGGCGUUCUUUCAACAAAAAUCAAUGGGGAAAGAAGUAGAUUUACAGAUAGAUAAUUAUCUCGGAGUAUUUUCCUAAUGAAUACUCUAGACAGAACAUGGCUUACAGCA